AUUAAAAACCAAUGCCCUUCGGGGCUCACUGGUGAUUCAUGAUAACUCCUAGAAUCGCAUGGCCUUGUGCCGGCGAUGGUUCAUUCAAAUUUCUUCCCUAUCAACUUUCGAUGUUUGGGUAUUGGCCAAACAUGGUUGCAACGGGUAACGGAGGGUUAGGGCUCGACCCCGGAGAAGGAGCCUGAGAAACGGCUACUACAUCCAAGGAAGGCAGCAGGCGCGCAAAUUACCCAAUCCCGACACGGGGAGGUAGUGACAAUAAAUACUGAUACAGGGCUCUUUUGGGUCUUGUAAUUGGAAUGAGUACAAUUUAAAUCCCUUAACGAGGAACAAUUGGAGGGCAAGUCUGGUGCCAGCAGCCGCGGUAAUUCCAGCUCCAAUAGCGUAUAUUAAAGUUGUUGUGGUUAAAAAGCUCGUAGUUGAACCUUGGGCCUGGCUGGCCGGUCCGCCUCACCGCGUGUACUGGUCCGGCCGGGCCUUUCCCUCUGUGGAACCCCAUGCCCUUCACUGGGUGUGGC
rnacentral:rRNA from 1 species